rnacentral:tRNA from 1 species
GGAGAGGUGUCCGAGUGGUCGAAGGAGCACGAUUGGAAAUCGUGUAGGUGUUAAUCGCGCCUCGAGGGUUCGAAUCCCUCUCUCUCCGCCA